rnacentral:misc_RNA from 1 species
UGGGACUACAGGGGUUUCUAAUCCUGUUUGAUACCCACGCUUUCGUGCUUCAGCGUCAGUUGUACCUUAGUAAGCUGCCUUCGCAAUCGGAGUUCUGCGUGAUAUCUAUGCAUUCCACCGCUACACCACGCAUUCCGCCUACCUCAUCUACACUCAAGCCCGCCAGUAUCAAUGGCAAUUUAGGAGUUAAGCUCCUAGAUUUCACCGCUGACUUAACAGGCCGCCUACGCACCCUUUAAACCCAAUAAAUCCGGAUAACGCUCGCAUCCUCCGUAUUACCGCGGCGGCUGGCAC